AUUGAACGCUGGCGGCAUGCCUUACACAUGCAAGUCGAACGGCAGCGGACCUUCGGGUGCCGGCGAGCGGCGAACGGCUGAGUAACGCGUGGGAACAUGCCCCAAAGUGAGGGAUAACGCACCGAAAGGUGUGCUAAUACCGCAUAUGGUCUUCGGAUUAAAGGAUUUAUCCGCUUUGGGAGUGGCCUGCGUACGAUUAGAUUGUUGGUGAGGUAACGGCUCACCAAGUCGACGAUCGUUAACUGGUCUGAGAGGAUGAUCAGUCAGACUGGAACUGAGACACGGUCCAGACUCCUACGGGAGGCAGCAGUAAGGAAUCUUCCACAAUGGGCGAAAGCCUGAUGGAGCAACGCCGCGUGCAGGAUGAAGGCCCUCGGGUCGUAAACUGCUUUUAUGAGUGAAGAAUAUGACGGUAACUCAUGAAUAAGCACCGGCUAACUACGUG
rnacentral:rRNA from 1 species